UACGAAGGGUGCAAGCGUUACUCGGAAUUACUGGGCGUAAAGCGUGCGUAGGUGGUUUUUUAAGUCCGUUGUGAAAGCCCUGGGCUCAACCUGGGAAUGGCAGUGGAUACUGGAAAGCUAGAGUGCGGUAGAGGGUAGUGGAAUUCCCGGUGUAGCAGUGAAAUGCGUAGAGAUCGGGAGGAACACCAGUGGCGAAGGCGAGUCCCUGGACAACUCCUGACACUGAGGCACGAAAGCUAGGGGAGCAAACAGG
rnacentral:rRNA from 1 species